GCGGCGGACGGGUGAGUAAGGCGUAGGCAACCUGCCCUAAAGUGGGGGAUAGCCUGGAGAAAUUCGGGUUAAUACCGCGUAAGCUAGACAAGUGAAUAUUGUUUAGUAAAGGCUUCGGCCGCUUUGGGAUGGGCCUACGUGUGAUUAGUUAGUUGGUGAGGUAACGGCUCACCAAGACCACGAUCACUAGCUGGUCUGAGAGGAUGAUCAGCCACACUGGAACUGAGACACGGUCCAGACUCCUACGGGAGGCAGCAGUGAGGAAUUUUGCGCAAUGGGGGAAACCCUGACGCAGCGACGCCGCGUGGAGGAUGAAGUCUUUCGAGAUGUAAACUCCUGUCAGUAGGGAUGAUUAUGACAGUACCUACAGAGGAAGCACCGGCUAACUCCGUGCCAGCAGCCGCGGUAAUACGGAGGGUGCAAGCGUUGUUCGGAAUUACUGGGCGUAAAGCGUACGUAGGCGGUGAGUUAAGUCGAAUGUUAAAGCCCGGGGCUCAACCCCGUGGAUGCAUUCGAUACUGGCUCGCUAGAGGGUGAUAGAGGAAAGCGGAAUUCCGAGUGUAGCGGUGAAAUGCGUAGAUAUUCGGAGGAACAUCAGUAGCGAAGGCGGCUUUCUGGGUCACACCUGACGCUGAGGUACGAAAGCGUGGGGAGCGAACGGGAUUAGAUACCCCGGUAGUCCACGCCGUAAACGAUGGAUGCUAGGUGUAGCGGGUAUCGACCCCUGCUGUGCCGUAGUUAACGCGUUAAGCAUCCCGCCUGGGGAGUACGUUCGCAAGAAUGAAACUCAAAGGAAUUGACGGGGGCCCGCACAAGCGGUGGAGGAUGUGGUUUAAUUCGACGCAACGCGAAGAACCUUACCAGGGCUUGACAUCCGGCGAAUUUCUGCGAAAGCGGAAAGUGCCUUCGGGAACGCCGAGACA
rnacentral:rRNA from 1 species